CGGCCAAUCUCCAGCAGACCCUCCCUCCCAGACCCUCCUACUUCCUGGACAGCAUCCAUGGAUGCUGUCCAGGAAGUAGGAGGGUCUGGGAGGGAGGGUCUGCUGGA